ensembl:lncRNA
GAAUAAUUUCAGAUAGUUGUGUUUAGCAGCCUUUGGCGGAUGUUUUGUAACUUUGAUAAAUUUGUAUUAAUCAGUUUCUACCUUUGUCUUUCAGAAUAUCCUGUGGCAGUUAUUUCCACAUUUUAAUUAUGAACACAUUAAUAAUAAUAUCAUUUGACUGCUUCUGAUAGUUUGAAGAGCUAACAAAUAAUCCUUACACUUGAUUUUAUAUACUAUUACUAUAUUAUAGAAUUUCUAAAAAGGAGGUCUUAUUUAGUCAAAUUUUACUGAAAACCACAACUGUUCUGUACUGUUGCUCAUCCUUGUCAUUUCUUUCUCGAUUUUUUAUUUCUACUACAGCUCAUAAACAGAGGACUGAAGUUUAAGUACAAGGUGUAUGUGACCUGAAGUUCAUCAAGGCCAGGACCUCUUUUCUGACAGUAAUCAAUACCAGAAGCACCACUGGGAAGCAUAGAAGUCUGUAGCGGGGAGGAAUGUCCACAGGUUUGGUACCUUUCCCUCCAUAGAGCCCUUCAUUGAAGAUUUCUGCCAUGUGAACAAAGUUUCAUUAACAUUCACUCUCCAGCAUUGUCUUCUACCCUAUUAAAUAAGAACUACUGCAAUGUAAGUUUUGUCAAAUUGUUCAUGCAUUUUCUCAGCAACGCAGUGACCCAGAAACAGCCCUGGCAAUAACAGAUGGACUC